rnacentral:rRNA from 1 species
GAUGAACGCUGGCGGCGUGCCUAAUACAUGCAAGUCGAGCGAAUUGACAGAGGUGCUUGCACCUCUCGAUUUUAGCGGCGGACGGGUGAGUAACACGUGGGUAACCUACCUAUAAGACUGGGAUAACUUCGGGAAACCGGAGCUAAUACCGGAUAAUAUUUAGCUUCGCAUGCAGCAAUAGUGAAAGACGGUUCUGCUGUCACUUAUAUAUGGACCUGCGGUGUAUUAGCUAGUUGGUGAGGUACCGGCUAACCAAGGCAACGAAACAUAGCCGACCUGAGAGGGUGAUCGGCCACACUGGGACUGAGACACGGCCCAGACUCCUACGGGAGGCAGCAGUAGGGAAUCUUCCGCAAUGGACGAAAGUCUGACGGAGCAACGCCGCGUGAGUGAAGAAGGUUUUCGGAUCGUAAAACUCUGUUGUAAGGGAAGAACAAGUACGUUAGUAACUGAACGUACCUUGACGGUACCUUACCAGAAAGCCACGGCUAACUACGUGCCAGCCGCCGCAGUAAUAC